CUUCAACUUAGUACUUGGUGGCAAAACCCUUGUUGGCAAUCACAGAGGUCAGAUGUUUUUUGUAGUUGGCCACCAGGUUUGCACACAUCUCAGGAGGGAUUUUGUCCCACUCCUUUUUGUAGAUCCUCUCCAAAUCAUUAAGGUUUCAAGGCUGACUUUUGACAACUCGAACCUUCAGCUCCCUCCACAGAUGUUCUAUGGGAUUAAGGUCUGAAGACUGGCUAGGCCACUCCAGGCCCUUAAUGUGCUUCUUCUUGAGCAACUCCUUUGUUGCCUUGGCUGUGUAUUUUGGGUCAUUGUCAUGCUGGAAUAUCCAUCCACGACCCAUUUUUAAUGCCUUGGCUGAGGGAAGGAGGUUCUCAUCCAAGAUUUGACGGUUUACGGCCCCGUCCAUCGUCCCUUUGAUGCGGUGCAGUUGUCUUGUCCCCUUAGCAGAAAAACACCCCCAAAGCAUAAUGUUUCCACCUUCAUGUUUGAAGGUGUGGAUUGUGUUCUUGGGGUCAUAGGCAGCAUUCCUCCUGGUCCAAACACAGUGAGUUGAGGCCAAAGAGCUUGAUUUUGGACUCAUCUGACCACAAAACUUUCACCCAGUUCUUCACUGAAUCAUUCAGAUGUUCAUUGGCAAACUUCAGAUGGGCCUGUACAUGUGCUUUCUUGAGCAGAGGGACCUUGCGGGCGCUGCAGGAUUUAAGUCCUUCACGGGGUAGUGUGUUACCAAUUGUUUUCUUG